AACGAACGCUGGCGGCAGGCUUAACACAUGCAAGUCGAACGCCCCGCAAGGGGAGUGGCAGACGGGUGAGUAACGCGUGGGAAUCUACCCAUCUCUGCGGAAUAGCUCCGGGAAACUGGAAUUAAUACCGCAUACGCCCUACGGGGGAAAGAUUUAUCGGGGAUGGAUGAGCCCGCGUUGGAUUAGCUAGUUGGUGGGGUAAAGGCCUACCAAGGCGACGAUCCAUAGCUGGUCUGAGAGGAUGAUCAGCCACAUUGGGACUGAGACACGGCCCAAACUCCUACGGGAGGCAGCAGUGGAGAAUAUUGGACAAUGGGCGCAAGCCUGAUCCAGCCAUGCCGCGUGAGUGAUGAAGGCCUUAGGGUUGUAAACCUCUUUCACCGGUGAAGAUAAUGACGGUAACCGGAGAAGAAGCCCCGGCUAACUUCGUGCCAGCCGCCGCGGUAA
rnacentral:rRNA from 1 species